UGGGGAAUUUUGGACAAUGGGCGAAAGCCUGAUCCAGCAAUGCCGCGUGUGUGAAGAAGGCCUUCGGGUUGUAAAGCACUUUUGUCCGGAAAGAAAUCCUUGGCUCUAAUACAGUCGGGGGAUGACGGUACCGGAAGAAUAAGCACCGGCUAACUACGUGCCAGCAGCCGCGGUAAUACGUAGGGUGCAAGCGUUAAUCGGAAUUACUGGGCGUAAAGCGUGCGCAGGCGGUUUGCUAAGACCGAUGUGAAAUCCCGGGCUCAACCUGGGAACUGCAUUGGUGACUGGCAGGCUAGAGUAUGGCAGAGGGGGGUAGAAUUCCACGUGUAGCAGUGAAAUGCGUAGAGAUGUGGAGGAAUACCGAUGGCGAAGGCAGCCCCCUGGCAAGUACUGACGCUCAUGCACGAAAGCGUGGGGAGCAAACAGGAUUAGAUACCCUGGUAGUCCACGCCCUAAACGAUGUCAACUAGUUGUUGGGGGAUUCAUUUCCUUAGUAACGUAGCUAACGCGUGAAGUUGACCGCCUGGGGAGUACGGUCGCAAGAUUAAAACUCAAAUGAAUUGACGGGGUCAUAGCUGUUUCCU
rnacentral:rRNA from 1 species